rnacentral:rRNA from 1 species
GAUGAACGCUGGCGGCGUGCCUAAUACAUGCAAGUCGAGCGAACGGACGAGAAGCUUGCUUCUCUGAUGUUAGCGGCGGACGGGUGAGUAACACGUGGAUAACCUACCUAUAAGACUGGGAUAACUUCGGGAAACCGUAGCUAAUACCGGAUAAUAUUUUGAACCGCAUGGUUCAAAAGUGAAAGACGGUCUUGCUGUCACUUAUAGAUGGAUCCGCGCUGCAUUAGCUAGUUGGUAAGGUAACGGCUUACCAAGGCAACGAUGCAUAGCCGACCUGAGAGGGUGAUCGGCCACACUGGAACUGAGACACGGUCCAGACUCCUACGGGAGGCAGCAGUAGGGAAUCUUCCGCAAUGGGCGAAAGCCUGACGGAGCAACGCCGCGUGAGUGAUGAAGGUCUUCGGAUCGUAAAACUCUGUUAUUAGGGAAGAACAUAUGUGUAAGUAACUGUGCACAUCUUGACGGUAGCUAAUCAGAAAGCCACGGCUAACUACGUG